CCUUCUUUGAUAUGAACUAAGUUGUAUGUUCCUCAUAGAUCUUUAAAAAAAUCAUAAAGAAAUAAUAUAGAAUUUACAAUAUAUUAAAAUAAAAAUCUUGAUAAAAUAUUAAAAUAAAAAUCUUAAUUAAAUCUUAGUCAAAUCUUAAUCAAACCUUAAAUAAAUCUUAGUCAAAUCUCAAUAAAUCUUAAUCAAAUCCUAAUCAAACCUAAUCAAAUCCUUAUCAAAUUCUAAACAAAUCUUAAUCAAUUCCUAAACAAAUCUUGAAUAAAUCUUAGGCAAAUUCUAAUCAAAUUCUAAAUAAAUCUUAAAUAAAUCUUAAUUAAAUCCUAAAUAAAUUCUAGUCAAAUCCUAAAUAAAUUCUAAUCAAAUCCUAAAUAAAUCCUAAACAAAUCUUAACCAAAUCCUAACCAAAUCCUAGUCAAAUUCUAAUAAAUCUUAACCAAAUCAUAAUCAAAUCCUAAUCAAAUCUUAACCAAAUCCUAAACAAAUCCAAAUCAAAUCUUACUCAAAUCUUGAAUAAAUUCUAAUCAAAUUCUAAAUAAAUCCUAAUCAAAUCCUAUUCAAAUCCUAAUCAAAUUCUAAAAAAAUCUUAAUCAAAUCCUAAUCAAAUCCUAGUCAAAUCCUAAACAAACUUUAAUCAAAUCCUAACCAAAACCUAAUCAAAUUCUAAAUAAAUCCUAGUCAAAUUCUAAAAAAAUCAUAAUCAAAUUCUAAUCAAAUCCUAACAAAUCUUAACCAAAUCCUAAUCAAAUCUUAAAAAAAUCUUAAAAAAAUAUUAAAAAAAUCCUACUCAAAUCCUAAAUAAAUCUUAAUCAAAUCCUAGUCAAAUCCUAAACAUAUCCUAAACAAAUUUUAAUCAAAUUCUAGUCAAACUCUAAAAAAAUUUUAACCAAACUCUAGUCAAAUCCUAAAAAAAUCCUAAACAAAUCCUUAACAAACCUUACUCAAAUCUUAAAUAAAUCCUAGUCAAAUCCUAAAUAAAUCCUAAUCAAAUCCUAAUCAAAUCUUUAAAAAAAUUUAACCAAAUCCUAGUCAAAUCCUAAUCAAAUCCUAAUCAAAUUCUUAUCAAUUCCUACUCAAAUCUUAAACAAACUUUAACCAAACCCUAAUCAAAUUCCAUACAAAUCUUAAACAAACCUUAAUCAAAUAAUAAAUAAAUCUUAUUCAAAUCCUAAAUAAAUUCUAAAUAAAUCUUAAUCAAAUCUUAAUCAAAUCUUAAUCAAAUUUUAAUCAAAUCCUAAAUAAAUCUUAAUCAAAUCCUAAUCAAAUAUUAAAUAAAUCCUAUAUAAAUUCUAAUCAGAUCCUAACCAAAUCCUAAACAAAUCCUAGCCAAAUCCUAACUAAACCCUAAAUAAAUCUUAGUCAAAACUUAGUUAAAUCUUAACAAAUCCUAACAAAAUCCUAACCUAAUCCUAAUCAAAUCCUAAAAAAAUCUUAAACAAAAUCUAACCAAAUCCUAACCAAACUAUAAAUAAAUCCUAGUCAAAUCCUAAAAAAAUCCUAACCAAAUCCUAAUCAAAUCCUAACCAAAUUCUAAAUAAAUCCUAGUCAAAUCCUAAAUAAAUCCUAACCAAAUCCUAAACAAAUCCUAACCAAAUCCUAAAUAAAUCCUAGUCAAAUCCUAAACAAAUCCUAACCUA
rnacentral:lncRNA from 1 species